CCAAAACAAGGAGACCAAGAAACAUGGCCCAAAUGAAAGAACAUAUUAAAACUCCAGAAAAAGCUCUAAAUGAAAUGGAGAUAAGCAAUCUAUCAGAUGUAGAGUUCAAAACAUUGGUUAUGGGGAUGCUCGAGGAACUCAGUGAAGACCUUAGCAGCA